CACGUAGGGUGCAAGCGUUAAUCGGAAUUACUGGGCGUAAAGCGUGCGCAGGCGGUUUUGUAAGUCUGUCGUGAAAUCCCCGGGCUCAACCUGGGAAUUGCGAUGGAGACUGCAAGGCUAGAAUCUGGCAGAGGGGGGUAGAAUUCCACGUGUAGCAGUGAAAUGCGUAGAGAUGUGGAGGAACACCGAUGGCGAAGGCAGCCCCCUGGGUCAAGAUUGACGCUCAUGCACGAAAGCGUGGGGAGCAAACAGG
rnacentral:rRNA from 1 species